GGAUGCGAUCAUACCAGCACUAAAGCACCGGAUCCCAUCAGAACUCCGAAGUUAAGCGUGCUUGGGCGAGAGUAGUACUAGGUUGGGUGACCUCCUGGGAAGUCCUCGUGUUCCAAUCC
rnacentral:rRNA from 2 species